AUUGAACGCUGGCGGCAGGCCUAACACAUGCAAGUCGAGCGAGCGGCGGACGGGUGAGUAAUGCCUAGGAAUCUGCCUGGUAGUGGCGGAUCACGUCCGGGAACGGUACCUAAUACCACAUACCUUCAGAUGUGCCCCGGUGGGAUUAGCUUGUUGGUGGGGUAACGGCUCACCAAGGCGACGAUCCCUAGCCGGUCUGAGAGGAUGACCAGCCACACUGGAACUGAGACACGGCCCAGACGCCUACGGGAGGCAGCAGUGGGGAAUAUGGGACAAUGGGCGAAAGCCUGACGGAGCCAUGCCGCGUGUAUGAAGAAGGCCUUCGGGGUGUAAAGUACUUUCAGCGGGGAGGCGUUACCAGCAGAAGAAGCACCGGCUAACUCCGUGCCAGCAGCCGCGGUAAUUC
rnacentral:rRNA from 1 species